rnacentral:misc_RNA from 1 species
GAUGAAGAACGCAGCGAAAUGCGAUAAGUAAUGUGAAUUGCAGAAUUCAGUGAAUCAUCGAAUCUUUGAACGCACCUUGCACUCCUUGGUAUUCCGAGGAGUACGCCUGUUCGAGUGUUAUGAAGCUCUCAAAACGCAAUUGGCUUAAAACCUGAUUGUUGUUUUGGAUUUGAACUUUGCCGUGUUAUAACGGCUGGUUUUAAAAGUAUUAGCUGGUACUAGAACGAAUUGGUUCUACUCAACGUGAUAAUUAUCUGAUCGUUGAGGACAUUCCUUUCACGAGGAAUGGCCAUAGUAAAUUCAAUGGACUGCUUCUAAUCUGGCUUUAAUUCUUUAUUGGAUUAACCACUUUUCAAAUCUGACCUCGAAUCAGGUGGGACUACCCGCUGAACUUAAGCAUAUCAAUAAGCGGAGA